CCUACGGGGUGCAGCAGUGGGGAAUAUUGCACAAUGGGCGAAAGCCUGAUGCAGCAACGCCGCGUGAAGGAAGAAGGCCUUCGGGUCGUAAACUUCUGUCCUUGGGGAAGAAAGAAGACGGUACCUGACUAAGAAGCCCCGGCUAACUACGUGCCAGCAGCCGCGGUAAUACGUAGGGGGCGAGCGUUAUCCGGAUUCACUGAGUGUAAAGGGAGCGUAGACGGCCGUGCAAGCCAGGAGUGAAAGCCCGGGGCCCAACCCCGGGACUGCUCUUGGAACUGUGCGGCUAGAGUGCGGGAGGGGCAGGCGGAAUGCCUGGUGUAGCGGUGAAAUGCGUAGAUAUCAGGAGGAACACCGGCGGCGAAGGCGGCCUGCUGGACCGCGACUGACGUUGAGGCUCGAAAGCGUGGGGAGCGAACAGGAUUAGAUACCCCAGUAGUC
rnacentral:rRNA from 1 species